GUGGGGAAUAUUGGACAAUGGGCGCAAGCCUGAUCCAGCCAUGCCGCGUGAGUGAUGAAGGCCUUAGGGUUGUAAAGCUCUUUCAGUAGGGAAGAUAAUGACGGUACCUACAGAAGAAGCCCCGGCUAACUUCGUGCCAGCAGCCGCGGUAAUACGAAGGGGGCUAGCGUUGUUCGGAUUUACUGGGCGUAAAGCGCACGUAGGCGGAUUGGUCAGUUAGAGGUGAAAUCCCGAAGCUCAACUUCGGAACUGCCUUUAAUACUGCCAGUCUCGAGUCCGGAAGAGGUGAGUGGAACUCCUAGUGUAGAGGUGGAAUUCGUAGAUAGUAGGAAGAACACCAGUGGCGAAGGCGGCUCACUGGUCCGGUACUGACGCUGAGGUGCGAAAGCGUGGGGAGCAAACAGGAUUAGAAACCCGAGUAGUCC
rnacentral:rRNA from 1 species